rnacentral:rRNA from 1 species
UACGUAGGGUGCAAGCGUUUGUCCGGAAUUAUUGGGCGUAAAGAGCUCGUAGGCGGUCUGUCGCGUCUGCUGUGAAAACUCAGGGCUUAACCCUGAGCUUGCAGUGGGUACGGGCAGACUAGAGUGCGGUAGGGGUGACUGGAAUUCCUGGUGUAGCGGUGGAAUGCGCAGAUAUCAGGAGGAACACCGGUGGCGAAGGCGGGUCUCUGGGCAGUAACUGACGCUGAGGAGCGAAAGCGUGGGAGCGAACAGG